AGAGUUUGAUCCUGGCUCAGAUUGAACGCUGGCGGUAUGCUUAACACAUGCAAGUCGAACGGAAACGAUACUAGCUUGCUAGUAGGCGUCGAGUGGCGGACGGGUGAGUAACGCGUAGGAAUCUGCCUGAUAGUGGGGGAUAGCCCGGAGAAAUUCGGAUUAAUACCGCAUAAUCUAUUCGUAGUAAAGGAGGCCUCUAUUUAUAUGCUUUCGCUAUCAGAUGAGCCUGCGUAAGAUUAGCUUGUUGGUGAGGUAAAAGCUCACCAAGGCGACGAUCUUUAGCUGGUCUGAGAGGAUGAUCAGCCACAUCGGGACUGAGACACGGCCCGAACUCCUACGGGAGGCAGCAGUGGGGAAUAUUGGACAAUGGGCGCAAGCCUGAUCCAGCAAUACCGCGUGUGUGAAGAAGGCCUGAGGGUUGUAAAGCACUUUCAAUUGUGAAGAAAAGCUAAAGGCCAAUACCCUUUAGCCUUGACGUUAACUUUAGAAGAAGCACCGGCUAACUCCGUGCCAGCAGCCGCGGUAAUACGGAGGGUGCAAGCGUUAAUCGGAAUUACUGGGCGUAAAGCGUGCGUAGGUGGUUUGUUAAGUCAGAUGUGAAAGCCCCGGGCUCAACCUGGGAACUGCAUUUGAAACUGGCAAACUAGAGUAUAGGAGAGGAAAGUGGAAUUUCUGGUGUAGCGGUGAAAUGCGUAGAUAUCAGAAGGAACAUCAAUGGCGAAGGCAGCUUUCUGGACUAAUACUGACACUGAGGUACGAAAGCGUGGGUAGCAAACAGGAUUAGAUACCCUGGUAGUCCACGCCGUAAACGAUGACAACUAGCCGUUGGGGGGAUUUACCCCUUAGUGGCGAAGCUAACGCGUUAAGUUGUCCGCCUGGGGAGUACGGCCGCAAGGUUAAAACUCAAAGGAAUUGACGGGGACCCGCACAAGCGGUGGAGCAUGUGGUUUAAUUCGAUGCAACGCGAAGAACCUUACCUGGUCUUGACAUCCUGCGAACUUUCUAGAAAUAGAUUGGUGCCUUCGGGAACGCAGUGACAGGUGCUGCAUGGCUGUCGUCAGCUCGUGUCGUGAGAUGUUGGGUUAAGUCCCGUAACGAGCGCAACCCCUAUCCUUAUUUGCCAGCACGUCAUGGUGGGAACUAUAAGGAGACUGCCGGUGAUAAACCGGAGGAAGGCGGGGACGACGUCAAGUCAUCAUGGCCCUUACGACCAGGGCUACACACGUGCUACAAUGGGAAGGACAAAGAGCCGCGAAGCCGCGAGGUGUAGCUAAUCUCAGAAACCUUUUCGUAGUCCGGAUUGGAGUCUGCAACUCGACUCCAUGAAGUCGGAAUCGCUAGUAAUCGUAGAUCAGAAUGCUACGGUGAAUACGUUCCCGGGUCUUGUACACACCGCCCGUCAUACCAUGGGAGUGGGUUGCACCAGAAGUGGCUAGUCUAACUUAGUGAGGACGGUCACCACGGUGUGAUUCAUGACUGGGGUAAAGUCGUAACAAGGUAACC
rnacentral:rRNA from 1 species